ensembl:lncRNA
GGACGUGUAAUUUUAUUAAUAAUUUCUAGACAAAAACAAUGAAAACACUGUAAAGAAAAUAACGCUUGAAGAUCGAGUGUAUUCUUUAGUUAGAAAUGAAACACACACACACACACACUGUGUAUAGCAGCUGACCUAUCGGAUGUGAUACUAACACAUUAUUUACCGUCAGAUGAUCCUGGCAACUCAACCGUUGUUCCCUCGAUUCAUUACGCAUUUCUGGACUGAAUGCGAUACUGCAGGCAUUUCUUAAACUUUAAGAAUGUAUUUUCCACACACACGUUUGGGACGCUGCAUUUACAUAAGUAAAUAAAACCAUUGAGAUAAAUUCACCUGGAAAUAAAAACAAAAAUAUAUGUAUUAUUUAUACUCAGUUCCUUAAUGAGUUUUCAUUUAAAUUACGUUUUCCCCCUUAGCGAGUGUGCGGGUGUGCGCAUGUGCGAAUGUGAACCUUUGACGCGUCAUGAGUUCUCUUUGAUGCGUCACAGAUAAGAUAAUUCGCAGAGGGCAUAUAGGGACCCUAAACUCACUAGGAUUGUGAGUGAACGUCCGGCGACUUUUGAGAUUGGUUGGAGAACAAGGAAAAACAAGAAACCCUUUAUAUUUAAAUUAUGAAACCAUCGGCAAGAGAUAUAUUUGACCGAUCACAGCCAGCUGAUGAAACAACAGCCAAGGAAGAGCGGCACCGGCUGCUGGCUUGCAUUGUAUUGGUCAGAGUCCUGAGGAAAUGUAAAGCUCUCCAAAGCUGCACUAAAGACGAGCAUGCCACCCACACUAAAGUGCUGCUAGACCAGACAAUGGAGGGCCUCAGCAUCCCAAAGAGCGCAGAUGUGUCAAAAACGCUCGUCAAACAGAUCAGCAGGGCUGUCCUCAGUGACCUUCAAAAGGCACUGACUGCUGAGAAGCUGAAAAACAUACUUACUACACCAGAUCCAGCUGUGGACAUAAUAAUUGUGAAGGCUUUGCAGUUCUGUAUGAAGGAAGUCCUGGAGCAGGUUGCAAGGAAGCCAAGGAGUUUUUGGCGUGACGAUACCAUCAAAUUCCUAAUAUUUGCUGCUGGAAUUGUCUGUACCUUUCUUUUGCUGGCAAUCCUCCUCUGACAACAGGUCACAGCUGCUGAUGGAAGUUUGCAACAGGUGCCUUUGUUUUGUUUUUUUUCUUCCUUUUCUUCUCGUCUACCUUCUCCUUAAUGGUAGAGCUUAUUUGCUCCCAAUACCAACUCUUUUCUCUACACAAGGGUUGUUACACCCCCCCCCAGCAAUUAGAAGGCAGUCCUCAGCUGGACCCCAGGUGACCCUCCUCCCGCUACCCCCUUUCACUAUACAUAGCUACUUUAGGUAGUAAGCAGGUUGUGGAGGAAUUGUUAGACACCCUUACCUUACAGCAUUGGUACAAUCAAUAAACAAAAUUAGUGCUUGAAGCAAACAAGAUAGAACAUGCAGUAUUACUGGCUAGUCAUCCUCUGGAGAUGGUCCUAGACAAGGGAAAAACAGUCAAAAACAC